UGCCAGACUCCUACGGGAGGCAGCAGUGAGGAAUAUUGGUCAAUGGGCGGGAGCCUGAACCAGCCAAGUCGCGUGAGGGACGACGGUCCUAUGGAUUGUAAACCUCUUUUGUCGGGGAACAAAGGCGCCCACGGGUGGGCGGAUGAGUGUACCCGAAGAAAAAGCAUCGGCUAACUCCGUGCCAGCAGCCGCGGUAAUACGGAGGAUCCAAGCGUUAUCCGGAUUUAUUGGGUUUAAAGGGUGCGUAGGCGGGCAUUUAAGCCGGCGGUCAAAUGUCGGGGCUCAACCCCGGCCUGCCGUCGGAACUGGGUGCCUUGAGUGGGCGAGAAGUAUGCGGAAUGCGUGGUGUAGCGGUGAAAUGCAUAGAUAUCACGCAGAACCCCGAUUGCGAAGGCAGCAUACCGGCGCCCUACUGACGCUGAGGCACGAAAGUGCGGGUAUCGAACAGGAUUAGAUACCCCAGUAA
rnacentral:rRNA from 1 species